rnacentral:rRNA from 1 species
UACGUAGGGGGCUAGCGUUGUCCGGAAUCAUUGGGCGUAAAGCGCGUGUAGGCGGUUCGGUAAGUCUGCUGUGAAAGUCGGGGGCUCAACCCUCGAAAGCCGGUGGAUACUGUCGGACUAGAGUGCGGAAGAGGCGAGUGGAAUUCCUGGUGUAGCGGUGAAAUGCGCAGAUAUCAGGAGGAACACCAAUGGCGAAGGCAGCUCGCUGGGACGGUGACUGACGCUGAGACGCGAAAGCGUGGGGAGCGAACAGG